ACGUAGGGUGCGAGCGUUAAUCGGAAUUACUGGGCGUAAAGCGUGCGCAGGCGGUUUUGUAAGACAGGCGUGAAAUCCCCGGGCUUAACCUGGGAACUGCGCUUGUGACUGCAAGGCUAGAGUACGGCAGAGGGGGGUGGAAUUCCACGUGUAGCAGUGAAAUGCGUAGAGAUGUGGAGGAACACCGAUGGCGAAGGCAGCCCCCUGGGCUAACACUGACGCUGAUGCACGAAAGCGUGGGGAGCAAACAGGA
rnacentral:rRNA from 1 species